rnacentral:lncRNA from 1 species
CCCACUCUGCCCUCCGUAACAGAUUCCAUGUGGUCCUACCACUCUCUGACAAGUCGCAACAACGAACACCACUUCACUCUCUGUAACAGAUUUCACGUGGCCCCACCACUCUCUAGCAAGUUGCGACAAUGGACACCACUCCACUCUUUGUAACAGAUUUCACGUGGCCCCACCACUUUCUGGCAAGUCGCGACAACAGACACCACUCUCUGGCAAGUCAUGGCAAC